CCAAUGUCCACAUCCUCAUCACCAGCAUCACCUUUCUUUGGCUUCUUUGCCUCAGAUGCAACAUCCAUCCUCUCAUUUACAAAUGCCUCCUUAUUGCCUUCGCUAGCAGUAGUGGCCACAUUGUUGAUACCCAUUAAUGCUUGACGCUUUAUCUUGCUAACCAUCUUCUUAUAAUUGGUCACAAACCGAUCAAGCUCCCAGAGAGUCUCCGUAUCAACAGCUUCAAUAUCUAGCUCAAUCUCAUCUCC
rnacentral:misc_RNA from 1 species